GACAGAAAUCAGUAUAGCACCCCAAGCAGUAACUAGGCCGUCAAGAAAUAUGGGAAGUGCCUCCAUAGCAGCAGCAUUGCAAAUAAGCAGAGUGCAAAGCAAUAGAUGCUGAUUUUUAACAACAGGCAAGAUCUUCUCAGCAUUUUUACGAUCAAUUGGAGUUCCAGACUUGGCAAGGACUUCCAGAUCAACUAGACUGAGAGACAUGAGCCCUAGCGUAAGGCCAGACAUCAACCCAGCGAAAAGUACCAGAAGAACAAUUAUCACAAUAUGUAUGAAGAACCCUGUCUCGCAACAUGUAUACUCCACCGCCAUACACCUUCUCCUCCCAAAAAAAAAAGUCCAACAACUUUGUAACCCUAAAAAGCCUUAAAAACCUCAAAACUUAAAUGUUAGAGAAACACAGGCCAGUUCUCA
rnacentral:misc_RNA from 1 species